AUUGAACGCUGGCGGCAUGCCUUACACAUGCAAGUCGAACGGCAGCACGGGAGCAAUCCUGGUGGCGAGUGGCGAACGGGUGAGUAAAGUAUCGGAACGUGCCCAGUCGUGGGGGAUAACGUAGCGAAAGUUACGCUAAUACCGCAUACGAUCUGUGGAUGAAAGCGGGGGAUCGCAAGACCUCGCGUGAUUGGAGCGGCCGAUAUCAGAUUAGGUAGUUGGUGGGGUAAAGGCCAACCAAGCCGACGAUCGGUAGCUGGUCUGAGAGGACGGCCAGCCACAGGGGGACUGAGACACGGCCCAGACUCCUACGGGAGGCAGCAGUGGGGAAUUUUGGACAAUGGGCGAAAGCCUGAUCCAGCCAUGCCGCGUGCAGGAUGAAGGCCUUUGGGUUGUAAACUGCUUUUGUACGGAGCGAAAAGGACUGCCCUAAUACGGUGGUCCCAUGACGGUACCGUAAGAAUAAGCACCGGCUAACUACGUGCCAGCCGCCGCAGUAAGAC
rnacentral:rRNA from 1 species